GCUGAAUUGGGUAGCGCCAACUUGUGAUCCAAGUGGGGGCACCAAGGUGAUGGAACAUAGCUUUGGCUUAACAGGAUAGACUGGUGGCUGCAUCAUGUUGGCCUGCCCAUUCCAAGUUGAGAGUUGAGUCAUGAGACUUGAGCGAAGGCACAUGUCUUGUGUCUCUUAGACAGGAGGGUACAGCGUGAGGCUGGUUUCACAGAGCAGCGAACACCUCCUACUACUAACAGUGGAGGGAUCACGGGCCGCUGCACCACCAGCCCACAAAACUUGGUGAGCCUAUCCGUCGAACCAUCUCUUUU
rnacentral:SRP_RNA from 1 species